UGGUAAAAGCAAGCAACAUAACAAAUUAAUUUUCAAAGCUCGAUUUACUUCAUUGUAAAAACUACUUAAAAUGACUAGUAAAGUUGCCAUUUAUUGUCUUCUUCUUGUAGUCUUGAUUGGAUUGGUAUCGGCAGCUCCACAGAACGGAGUUGAGUACGGAUAUGAAGUUGAGUGUGUAGAGACAACGUAUUACGAUGGAUCGCGAAAGUCAAAGUGGUCGAUUUCUGGUAAUAAAAUCCGACUCCCGUCCGGAUGGAGAAAUAGUGGGUCAGCUGCCAGCUCGGUCCCUGGCGAUGGGAAAUUUUCGAUGAAAUAUAGUUGGUAUCAACUGGAUCAAUCGGCUCCUGCUCGUGGUGCUGGAGGAUCAGGAUCACUCUGCUGAUUCAACUAAAAUUCGACUAAAAAAACAAAAUGAUUAAUUUUUUUAUAAUUGAUUGAUAAUGCACGAUUCAGCUGUCUACACUAAAAGAAAGACAUAUAAAAAUCUUACAAAA